GGGUGUGAUUUCUAUUAACCAUAACAAUUUCGUUUUUGUAGGUAAACAACCUUUUGAGGUUUUGUUAAUUUUCCUUACAACUAUUUAAACUUGUGCUUUGUAGAUUCGAUUUUGGUGCUCACGUUAAAGAUUUGGUUUUUUUGGGUCCUUCUGUUUAAGUUUUGUAAUAGAUCCUUCUUUGGUAACCGUCCCGAAUCCAGAUAAGAAAGUUAUGCAGUGGAUACAAUUAUUACAUCAGAUUGGUAUUGAUGUUGUUCGAACAGGUCGAUCACUUGUCUUUUACGAAGAUGAAGGAAUGAACGAUAUUUGCUCACCUUCGGUUAUUCUUAUCGAGAAUGAAGCAGAUUGCUAUUGGUCCUUUGAACAUGCGAUUCGGAGAAUGGUAUAGUCAUAUCAUACAGGAAUUUUUUUUCCUUUUCUGUUCUUUGUGUUCUCCCUUCAUGUUGGUCAAGGUCAGCCAAUUUUCUGUUCUAAUUUGGAUCAAAACAAUUUACCCCACACUUCACUGCUAUAUAUCAAUCUAUCAUUAUAAUCUGCU